rnacentral:tRNA from 1 species
UAGCUCAGUGGCAGAGCACUUGCCUAACAUACAUGAGGCCUUGGGUUCAAACCCCAG